AUCUCAGCCAUCAUAAAGCCAGUCUAACAUGACUUGCAUAUUUAGCAUGUUAACUGCUUCAUUUGGGGAGCUUCAAUAGGUAUUGAGGGAUAAGAAAAAAAGAACCAUUUUGGAAAAACUCAGGCUGCACCUGCACACAGAUAAGCAAUUUGUAUAAUUAGUGAAAUCCUAGGGAAAAAAAAAAGGUAUCUCCCUUUCAGGCAUAUAUGUGGUGGAAAUAUGCACAGGGCUGAGGAUGGCUUAUCAAAAACAACCCACUUUAUACAAGGAAAAUAAGUGGCACUGUGUGCUUGCCUGGAGGCAUACCCACAGCUACAUAAGAUAAGGGGAGUUGCACACACAGGUUUACUGAUAAGAGAAGUUACUCAAACUGCUACAGACAUGAGAGGAGUUUCUUAUAAAAGCUUUCGAAUUCAGAUGUAACCCAGCAAUGCACUCAGACUCCUCUCUGCUGUGGAGAGCUUUUUUUUUUUUUUUUCAUAUUAAACUUUCACUCCAACUUUAUCUUUGUGUUUACAAUUCUUAAUUUUUUUGUCUUGGAUAAAGAACAAAAAACCUGGAGUACUUCUUCAGACAACAAGAAACUUCCAAAUUAAGGUGCAUUGGCAAGAAUGCAACAUAUUUUGAUCCAUUGGCUUGGAAGGAGGGAAUUCAUCAGAAGGAGUCAAGGACACUUGUCUUGAGCUAGCUACACCCUUUCACAACUCAGUAAGGAGUGAAGACUGAUUUUGCAGAGCCAAUAAAGGCCCCUGGGGAAACUGGCCUCAUAUCUUGUCAUGAAGAUUUUAUACAGGUUUCCUAACCUGUGUGCUCACUGCUGCAAAGAAGAACAAGCACACAGGCAAAAAGUUUUCCCAGCAAGAAUGCCAGGGUGAAAGGAAAGAUCAAUUGGACCAGAGCACAAGUGCUGCUCCAGUUACUUGGCAGAGUACCUAAUAGUGAUCCACCACAAUACCACCAUAUAUCUGUUUGGGAAUAAACAAGGGCAAGUUGACUGCUUAAGAGUGAUGACAUGCAACUCAGUCUCUUGCAACACCACCUGAGAAAAGGAAGCACUAGCAGGAAGAACAAAUUGAUGGAGAGGAAAAGUGAUGAAUACAGAUAAGAAGCACAGCUGGUGGAGGCUCAUGUGCCAGUUUACUGGGCCUCAGGACAUUCUCCUCUAGAAGGAGGAGACAGCAUGACCCCCACUUUCUUUUAUUUUAUUAUAAUUUAAGUUUUAGGGUACAUGAGCACAAUGUGCAGGUUAGUUACAUAUGUAUACAUGUGCCAUGCUGGUGUGCUACAGCCAUUAACUCAUCAUUUAGCAUUAGGUAUAUCUCCUAAUGCUAUCCCUCCCCCCUACCCCUACCCCACAACAGCCCCCAGAGUGUGAUGUUCCCCUUCCUGUGUCCAUGUGUUCUCAUUGUUCAAUUCACACCUAUGAGUGAGAAUAUGUGGUGUUUGGUUUUUUGUCCUUGUGAUAGUUUACUGAGAAUGAUGAUUUCCAAUUUCAUCCAUGUCCCUACAAAGGACAUGAACUCAUCAUUUUUUAUGGCUGCAUAAUAUCCCAUGGUGUGUAUGUGCCCCAUUUUCUUAAUCCAGUCUAUCAUUGUUGGGCAUUUGGGUUGGUUCCAAGUCUUUGCUAUUGUGAAUAGUGCCGCAAUAAAUGUACGUGUGCAUAUGUCUUUAUAGCAGCAUGAUUUAUAGUCCUUUGGGUAUAUACCCAGUAAUGGGAUGGCUGGGUCAAAUGGUAUUUCUAGUUCUAGAUCCCUGAGAAAUCACCAAACUGACUUCGACAAUGGUUGAACUAGUUUACAGUCCCACCAACAGUGUUAGUCCAUUUACAUUUAAAGUUAAUAUUAUUAUGUGUGAAUUUGAUCCUGUCAUUAUGAUGUUAGCUGGUUAUUUUGCUCGUUAGUUGAUGCAGUUUCUUCCUAGCUUUGAAGGUCUUUACAAUUUGGCAUGGUUUUGCAGUGGCUGAUACCGGUUUUUCCUUUCCAUGUUUAGUGCUUCCUUCAGGAGCUCUUUUAGAGCAGUAAUCUCUCAGCAUUUGCUUGUCUGUAAAGUAUUUUAUUUCUCCUUCACUUAAGAAGCUUAGUUUGGCUGGAUAUGAAAUUCUGGAUUGAAAAUUCUUUUCUUUAAGAAUGUUGAAUAUUGGCCCCCACUCUCUUCUGGCUUGCAGAGUUUCUGCCAAGACAUCAGCUGUUAGUCUGAUGGGCUUCCCUUUGUGGGUAACCUGACCUUUCUCUCUGGCUGCCCUUAACAUUUUUUCCAUCAUGUCAACUUUGGUGAAUCUGACAAUUAUGUGUCUUGGAGUUGCUCUUCUUCAGGAGUAUCUUCAUGGCAUUCUCUGUAUUUCCUGAAUCUGAAUGUUGGCCUACCUUGCUAGAUUGGCGAAGUUCUCCUGCAGAGUGUUUUCCAACUUGGUUCCAUUCUCCGCAUCACUUUCAGGUACACCAAUGAGACGUAGAUUUGGUCUUUUCACAUAGUCCCAUAUUUCUUGGAGGCUUUGUUCGUUUCUUUGUAUUCUUUUUUCUCUAAACUUCCCUUCUUGCUUCAUUUCAUUCAUUUCAUCUUCCAUCACUGAUACCCUUUCUUCCAGUUGAUUGCAUCAGCUCCUGAGGCUUCCUCAUUCUUCACGUAGUUCUCAAGCCUUGGCUUUCAGCUCCAUCAGCUCUUUUAAGCACUUCUCUGUAUUGGUUAUUCUAGUUAUACAUUCGUCUAAAUUUUUUUCAAAGUUUUCAACUUCUUUGCCUUUGAUUUGAAUUUCCUCCUGUAGCUCGAAGUAGUUUGAUCGUCUGAAGCCUUCUUCUCUCAACUCGUCAAAAUCAUUCUCCAUCCAGCUUUGUUCCAUUGCUGGUGAAGAAUUGCGUUCCUUUGGAGGAGGAGAGGCGCUCUGCUUUUUAGAGUUUCCAGUUUUUCUGCUGUGUUUUUUCCCCAUCUUCGUGGGUUUAACUACUUUUGGUCUUUGAUGAUGGUGAUGUACAGAUGGGUUUUUGGUGUGGAUGUCCUUUCUGUUUGUUAGUUUUCCUUCUAACAGACAGGACCCUCAGCUGCAGGUCUGUUGGAGUUUUCUAGAGGACCACUCCAGAUCCCGUUUGCCUGGGUAUCAGCAGCGGUGGCUGCAGAACAGCAGAUUUUCAUGAACCACGAAUGCUGCUGUCUGAUGGCUCCUCUGGAAGUUUUGUCUCAGAGGAGUACCUGGCCAUGUGAGGUGUCAGUCUGCCCCUACUGGGGGGGUGCCCCCCAGUUAGGCUGCUCGGGACCCCCAAUUUGUUUGUGUAUCUCAGGGUGAGUUUGUGCCAUUUUCUGUUAGCCUUAUUGGUCUCUGUGUCUGUGGUGCACUUCAUUCAUCAGCGUCUGUGUUUGUUUGCAUUUUUUACUUGUCUCUCCAUCUAUUUCUCUGAUUUUGUUACAUUUUACAUUUUAAGUUUCAUUAUAUUUUCCAUUCACAUAUUAUACAUGCACAACUAUAUGGCAGACCAUGUUAUUUUAAAACAUGCAUACAAUAUACCAAAUAAUGGUAUUUAUUCAUCUCCUCUAAUGUUCCUCGUGAUUAGAACCCUAGGAAUUCUCUCUUCUAUUUAGAAAUAUAUAAUGCAUUGUUAUUAAAAAUAGUGACCCUGCUGUGCAAUGGAAUACCAUUGCUUCUUUUUUUUCAAUUUAACUACUUUUUUUGUAUUUAUUUACCAACUUCUUCCUAUCCCUACAUUUCUAAUUCUUUCUAGACCCCCAUAACCACUAUUCUUCCCUAUAAUUCUAUGAGAAAAUUUUUUAGAUUCCACAUAUAGGUCAGAUAAUGUGUUAUUUUUAUUCCUACACCUAGGUUAUUUUGCUUAGUUACAUGUAAAGGAAUAUACAUGGUAUGUGGCAUGGCAAAUGAUAAAAGUUCAUUUUUAAUAGAUAUAUACUAUUUCAUUGUGUGUGUGUGUACAUAUACCACAUUUUAAAUUCAUUUGUCUGUUUAUGAACAUCCAGGUUUAAUAUUGUAUUGUUCAUGGUGAAUAGUGCUGUAAUAAACAAAAAAGAGCAAAUAUUUAUUUGACAUGCUAAUUUUCUUUCCCUUGCCUACAUACUCAGUGGUGCAGAUUGUUCAGUCAUGUGGAAACUUUCAUGUAAAUUUUUUAGAGAUCUACAGAAUGUCUUCCAUACUGAUUCUACUAAUUUACAUUCCAUCCAAGAGGAUGUUUUGUGCAGUUCCCCACUUUUCUUUUCUCCACAUCCCUGGCAAUACUUGUUAUUCUUUUGCAAUUUUUAGUUAUAUCCAUUAUUAUUCUAAUAGAUUCACUGAGCUGAAAGGACUUGUCAUAUUUUCUUAUGGGUUUUCCUGGCAUUUCUCCAAUAAAAAUUAUGUUGAACUUUUAUUUAGAAAUGUGUUGGAAGUAUCUGUGUCAUUUUUGGAGAAAUGUCUAUUUACAUCUUUUGAACAUUUUUAAUUAGAAAAUUUUUGGCUAUUGUUUCUUAUUUGUUCUGGAUACUAAGUUUUUUUCUUUUUUUUCCUUUUGUUUUGGAGAUGGAGUCUUACUCUGUCACCCAGGCUGGAGUGCAGUGAUGCAACCUUGGCUCACGGCAACCUCUGCUUCCCAGAUCAAACGAUUCUCCUACCUCAGCCUCCUGAGUAGCUGGGAUUACAGGUGUGUGCCACCACACCCA
rnacentral:lncRNA from 1 species